CUUUGUUGGCUAGACAGAUUCCUAGUUUAAUAGAUGCAUCAAAAUCGGACUCCACCUUGCGUAAAUAUAAAACUUAUUUUUCCAAAUUUCAAAACUGGUGUAAAAUGUAUGAUCUUGACUCGCUGCCGGCAUCGGCAUCUACGGUUUCACUUUAUAUUUCCUUUUUGGUUCAAGCUAAUUCAUCUUCUUCUGUUCUGACUGCUACUAUUUAUGCUAUUCAGUGGUAUCAUGACAAAAAUUUAUUUCCUAAUCCAUGUUAUGAAAAAUUGGUGAAACUUACUGCGGAAGGUGGAAGACGCAUUUUGGCUAAACCGUUUGUUAAUAAGAAGGAACCUAUCACUAUUGACAUUAUUGAAAAAAUCUUCAAAUCAAAAAAUGACAUGGAUAACUUGUGUCAUUUACGCACCAGAUUAAUAUGUGUUUUAGGAUAUGCAGGCUUUUUUAGAGCAAGUGAAUUGUGCAGCAUUAAAAGUUCGGACAUUAAGUUCCAUGAUGAGUAUGUUGAAAUCAAGAUCAGGAGCUCAAAGACCGAUAUAUACAGGAGAGAGCGUUAUCAGAAGUCGGUGAAGAACCUAGAAAAUUCGGACUUCAUUCCCUAAGGUCAGGAGGGGCAACGGCAGCUGCUAAUGCGGACAUUCCAGACAGGUUGUUUAAAGCUCAUGGAAGAUGGAGAAGUGAGACUGCGAAGGAUGGUUACGUUAAAGACAAUAUUAAUAAUAUUUUGUCAGUUUCAAAAAAUCUUGGUUUGUAAUGUAUUAAUUUCAUGUAGUAUUAAAUUAUUCAACUUUACAGUCAUCACCCGACGUUUGUUUUUCGAAAUGGCUAACUACGUCUAUCCUAUAUUAUGUGUUUGUUUUGUUUUAUUAGAAUAGGAAAUAAUUUAUGUUCGGCUGAGCGAAGCGAAAGAGAACAUAAAUACAUUUCUUUUAGGUUAAAUGUAAAAAUAUAAGUGUUGUCUGUUGGGUUCGAGCCUGAGAUGUUUUGGUUGUUGAGCCAUCGUAUGUUCCACACGGCCACUCACGCUGGAUAAUUCUGGGUAUUUAAACGUUUCAGUCGUGUGUGUUAUAUUAUAAGUACUAUAUCAUGUAUCGUAGCGAUUUAUGAGUACUUGGGCUCUAGGGUAUUUAAAUCCAGGAAUCGGUCAGAGUAAUCAUUCGACAUUAGUUAGCCACACGACUGACAAGUUGUUAAGUUUAUCAUUUUAUUAUUAUAAAUUGAGUUUUAUUUUCAGAUAAAUAAGCAUUGGGAAUAAAUUUCAAUCUUCAACAGUUGCCAUGGUUUUUGCGGCAUCCAAGAUCCAAUCGAAGGUUAUUCUAUGGAAGUAGACCUGUCCUCCUGAUGACUUAUGUGCAAUUUGUAGUUUAAUAAAUGGCUAACUACGUCUAUCCUA